ACCCAAAGGACUUGGCGGUGCCUCAAACCCACCUAGAGGAGCCUGUUCUAUAACCGAUAAUCCACGUUAAACCUCACCAUCUCUUGCCUAAACCGCCUAUAUACCGCCGUCGCCAGCUUGCCUCUUGAGAGAUUAAAAGCAAGCCUAAUGGGUAUUACCCAAAACGUCAGGUCGAGGUGUAGCGAAUGAGAUGGAAUGAAAUGGGCUNCANUUUC
rnacentral:rRNA from 1 species